rnacentral:tRNA from 1 species
GCCUGGGUGGCUCAGUUGGUUAAGCAUCUGACUUCAGCUCAGGUCAUGAUCUCACGGUCUGUGAGUUCGAGCCCCAUGUCGGGCU